rnacentral:rRNA from 1 species
AACGAACGCUGGCGGCAGGCUUAACACAUGCAAGUCGAACGCCCCGCAAGGGGGAGUGGCAGACGGGUGAGUAACGCGUGGGAAUCUACCCAGUUCUACGGAACAACUGAGGGAAACUUCAGCUAAUACCGUAUACGCCCUACGGGGGAAAGAUUUAUCGGAAUUGGAUGACGCCCGCGUUGGAUUAGCUAGUUGGUGAGGUAACGGCUCACCAAGGCGACGAUCCAUAGCUGGUCUGAGAGGAUGAUCAGCCACACUGGACUGAGACACGGCCCAGACUCCGUACGGGAGGCAGCAGUGGGGAAUAGUUGGACAAUGGGCGCAAGCCUGAUCCAGCCAUGCCGCGUGAGU